CCUACGGGAGGCAGCAGUAAGGGAUAUUGGUCAAUGGGGGAAACCCUGAACCAGCAACGCCGCGUGAGGGAAGACGGUUCUCGGAUUGUAAACCUCUUUCCAUGGUGAAGAAAAUGACGGUAGCAGAGGAGGAAGCGCCGGCUAACUACGUGCCAGCAGCCGCGGUAAUACGUAGGCAGCGAGCGUUGUCCGGAUUUACUGGGUGUAAAGGGUGCGUAGGCGGCUUCGGAAGUCAGUAGUGAAAUUGAUGGGCUUAACCCAGGAACUGCAAUUGAAACUGUCGAGCUUGAGUGAAGUAGAGGUAGGCGGAAUUCGCGGUGUAGCGGUGAAAUGCGUAGAGAUCGGGAGGAACACCAGUGGCGAAGGCGGCUUACUGGACUUUAACUGACGCUGAGGCACGAAAGCGUGGGUAGCAAACAGGAUUAGAUACCCGAGUAGUC
rnacentral:rRNA from 1 species